AUGUAUGGAAUUCAUAUUAUGAUGCUACAAAAUGCAUUGUUGCAAAUAUUGAUAAGAUUGAAAAUGUUUGUAAUGAUAUACAACUGCCUACCAUUUCAGGACCUCAGGAAGACUCAUUCCUACACGAAUACUGCAAUGUAAAUUGUCAUGAAACCUAUAUCUAGAGCUUUGGACAAAUGGUAGAGUGAUAAAAAUGUAUCCUUGGGAUAUUUGCUCCUUACUAUAAAUGCAGUACAUAAAUCGCUGAGCAUAUGAAAAAUAUAAUUUUUUACAAACCAUUGAUUAUUGCUCUUAAGAGUUAAGAGAGGAUUAGAUAAAAGAUUCAUGAGAUAUAUGGGUCAAAGAUGUGUCAAGUGGCUGCUUGUAUGGUUCCAAAAUUCAAACUUAAAUGGAUAUUAGAAGAUGAUUGGAACGACAUAAAACAUAAACUUAUGGAAACCAUAAUUAACAACUUAUCAAUAAUAACAAAUUCCCAAGAAAAUCUUCAGUCGACUUCCAUCCAACAUCUGCAAAAUGUCAUAAUAGUGACUUUGAAGAUGAUUUUUUUGGUUUUGAAGAAAAUGAUGUUUUGGAUUCAAAUAAUGAUUAUAAACUAUUUGUUAACAAUUAUUUGUCUAAAAUAUUAAAUCUCCUUCAGAAUUACUAAACGCACUUAAAGAAAUAUAUAAUACUGCCGUCUCUUCAUCUACACAUGUUGAGCGACUUUUUAGUGCUGGAGGACAGUUACUAAAAAGGAGAAUCAAUGGUAGAUCAAAAUGUUGAGAUUACAUUGUUAUUAAAAUUUAAUAGAUAUUUUAAAUAAAAAUUUUACUAUAAAAAUAGUAGAUUUUAUAAUUUUUAAAUGAUUACCUAAGUAAUUUAUUUUUUGAAUUAUAAAUGUUACAAUACAGUACCUAA